AACCAUAGAAACCUGCGGAGUACCUGCGGAGGGAUCAUCAUUGAAUACUUAUUUGACAAAAGUGUGGCUUGAGAGGGGAUGGGGGUGGAAACUCUGCAUUUCGUUUCCUGAACCUUGAUGGCUGCCUUUUGGACAAACAACCAAUCUACAUGACUAGGAAAACACACACUGGUUUGGCUUGGGGGGCACAUACACAAGUUCUUGUCUGACAAGUGGCUUGCUGAUUUGGAGCAUGAUAAC
rnacentral:misc_RNA from 1 species